GAUGAACGCUGGCGGCGUGCCUAAUACAUGCAAGUCGAGCGAACAGACGAGGAGCUUGCUCCUCUGACGUUAGCGGCGGACGGGUGAGUAACACGUGGAUAACCUACCUAUAAGACUGGGAUAACUUCGGGAAACCGGAGCUAAUACCGGAUAACAUGUUGAACCGCAUGGUUCAACAGUGAAAGACGGUCUUGCUGUCACUUAUAGAUGGAUCCGCGCCGCAUUAGCUAGUUGGUAAGGUAACGGCUUACCAAGGCAACGAUGCGUAGCCGACCUGAGAGGGUGAUCGGCCACACUGGAACUGAGACACGGUCCAGACUCCUACGGGAGGCAGCAGUAGGGAAUCUUCCGCAAUGGGCGAAAGCCUGACGGAGCAACGCCGCGUGAGAGAUGAAGGUCUUCGGAUCGUAAAACUCUGUUAUUAGGGAAGAACAAAUGUGUAAGUAACUAUGCACGUCUUGACGGUACCUAAUCAGAAAGCCACGGCUAACUACGUG
rnacentral:rRNA from 1 species